CGGAGCAUAGCUCAGCUGGUUAGAGCGCACCCCUGAUAAGGGUGAGGUCGGUGGUUCAAGUCCACUUGUUCCGACCA
rnacentral:tRNA from 5 species